CCCGCUGAACUUAAGCAUAUCAAUAAGCGGAGGAAAAGAAACCAACAGGGAUUGCCUCAGUAACGGCGAGUGAAGCGGCAAAAGCUCAAAUUUGAAAUCCUUCGGGAGUUGUAAUUUGUAGGUUGGGAGACCCCGCGGCUAGUGGCACCAAGUCCCUUGGAACAGGGCGCCUUAGAGGGUGAGAGCCCCGUAGGUACCACAACACCGUCUUGUGUCUCCUCUCCAAAGAGUCGAGUUGUUUGGGAAUGCAGCUCAAAGUGGGUGGUAAAUUCCAUCUAAAGCUAAAUACCGGCGAGAGACCGAUAGCGAACAAGUACAGUGAUGGAAAGAUGAAAAGCACUUUGAAAAGAGAGUGAAACAGUACGUGAAAUUGUUGAAAGGGAAGGGCUUGCAAGCAGACACGGCCUUCGUGCCGGGCCAGCAUCGGUUGCUAGGGGUGGAUAAGGAACAAGGAAUGUAGCUCCUCGGAGUAUUAUAGCCUUGCGCGAUACACCCACUGGCGACCGAGGCCUGCGGUAUUCUUUACCUAGGAUGCUGGCGUAAUGGUUGCAAGCCGCCCGUCUUGAAACACGG
rnacentral:ncRNA from 1 species